rnacentral:rRNA from 1 species
GUGAACGCUGGCGGUAGGCCUAACACAUGCCAGUCGAACGGCAGCACAGUAAGAGCUUGCUCUUACGGGUGGCGAGUGGCGGACGGGUGAGGAAUACAUCGGAAUCUACUUUUUCGUGGGGGAUAACGUAGGGAAACUUACGCUAAUACCGCAUACGACCUACGGGUGAAAGCAGGGGAUCUUCGGACCUUGCGCGAUUGAAUGAGCCGAUGUCGGAUUAGCUAGUUGGCGGGGUAAAGGCCCACCAAGGCGACGAUCCGUAGCUGGUCUGAGAGGAUGAUCAGCCACACUGGAACUGAGACACGGUCCAGACUCCUACGGGAGGCAGCAGUGGGGAAUAUUGGACAAUGGGCGCAAGCCUGAUCCAGCCAUACCGCGUGGGUGAAGAAGGCCUUCGGGUUGUAAAGCCCUCUUGUUGGGAAAGAAAAGCAGCAGGUUAAUACCCCGCUGUUCUGACGGUACCCAAAGAAUAAGCACCGGCUAACUUCGUG